GACGAACGCUGGCGGCGUGCCUAAUACAUGCAAGUUGAGCGCUGAAGGUUGGUACUUGUACCAACUGGAUGAGCAGCGCACGGGUGAGUAACGCGUGGGGAAUCUGCCUUUGAGCGGGGGACAACAUUUGGAAACGAAUGCUAAUACCGCAUAAAAACUUUAAACACAAGUUUUAAGUUUGAAAGAUGCAAUUGCAUCACUCAAAGAUGAUCCCGCGUUGUAUUAGCUAGUUGGUGAGGUAAAGGCUCACCAAGGCGAUGAUACAUAGCCGACCUGAGAGGGUGAUCGGCCACAUUGGGACUGGGACACGGCCCAAACGCCUACGGGAGGCAGCAGUAGGGAAUCUUCGGCAAUGGACGAAAGUCUGACCGAGCAACGCCGCGUGAGGGAAGAAGGUUGUCGGAUCGUAAAACUCUGUUGGUAGAGAAGAACGUUGGUGAGAGUGGAAAGCUCAUCAAGUGACGGUAACUACCCAGAAAGGGACGGCUAACUACGUG
rnacentral:rRNA from 1 species